rnacentral:rRNA from 1 species
AUUGAACGCUGGCGGCAGGCCUAACACAUGCAAGUCGAGCGGUAGAGAGAAGCUUGCUUCUCUUGAGAGCGGCGGACGGGUGAGUAAUGCCUAGGAAUCUGCCUGGUAGUGGGGGAUAACGUUCGGAAACGGACGCUAAUACCGCAUACGUCCUACGGGAGAAAGCAGGGGACCUUCGGGCCUUGCGCUAUCAGAUGAGCCUAGGUCGGAUUAGCUAGUUGGUGGGGUAAUGGCUCACCAAGGCGACGAUCCGUAACUGGUCUGAGAGGAUGAUCAGUCACACUGGAACUGAGACACGGUCCAGACUCCUACGGGAGGCAGCAGUGGGGAAUAUUGGACAAUGGGCGAAAGCCUGAUCCAGCCAUGCCGCGUGUGUGAAGAAGGUCUUCGGAUUGUAAAGCACUUUAAGUUGGGAGGAAGGGUUGCAGAUUAAUACUCUGCAAUUUUGACGUUACCGACAGAAUAAGCACCGGCUAACUCUGUG